rnacentral:rRNA from 1 species
CACGCUGUAAACGAUGUCGAUUUGGAGGUUGUGCCCUUGAGGCGUGGCUUCCGGAGCUAACGCGUUAAAUCGACCGCCUGGGGAGUACGGCCGCAAGGUUAAAACUCAAAUGAAUUGACGGGGGCCCGCACAAGCGGUGGAGCAUGUGGUUUAAUUCGAUGCAACGCGAAGAACCUUACCUACUCUUGACAUCCAGAGAACUUUCCAGAGAUGGAUUGGUGCCUUCGGGAACUCUGAGACAGGUGC